UCCUACGUGUCACUGCAGCCUGAGCAUGCCAGAUCUCGUCUGAUCUUGGACGCUAAGCAGGCUUGGGUUUGGUUAGUACUGGGAUGGGAGGCCACCUGGGAAUACCAGCUGCUGUAAUCU
ensembl:rRNA 5S_rRNA 5S ribosomal RNA